UUCAAUUUCAGUCAAACUAUGCAGCAAGAUCUACCCAUGCUUCCAUGAGUCGUUAAAAAGUUCCUUAAUAAACAAGUUGGUGGAAGUAUUGUCAAAAAAAAAAAAAGGAAAAUGGUUGGUGGAAGUAUAUAUUUUGUGAAUAUAUAAAUGGAGGGUGAAGAAGAAAGAUAGAUUUGCGAAUUAAUAGAGAAAGCAUGGAUCAGAAAAAUUCACAAGUCUCAACUAUUCUAUUUGCUUUGCUUCUCCUCUCUUCUCUAUUUCUCAGCCAACCGCAAGCUUUCUCUGUUGAAUCAUUAACAUUACACCGCAAAAUCAUAGAGGGGAAAGAUGGGUUGAAACAGAUUGGAUUCCAAAAAAAGGUUCAAACGAAGCCGAGCAGUUCGAGAAGAGGACCAUCGAAGGGUCAUCCUCCGGGCUCACCAAGACUAUGACACACUUGCCUACUAUAUAUGUGCAUGCAUACGCAUGAUUUGUAAGAGAUUCAAACGUAGGUUAUGAUGUAUCUUUAUUUAUGAGGGUUGUAAUAAGUGAAAAGAUAUAUGUAUGUAUUCAAAUAGAUUUUUUAUAGAAUAUGUUUAAAGAUUUGAUAUUA